rnacentral:sRNA from 1 species
GGCAGAUGAAAUUGGGUUAAGGCUGCCUCAACCUAUUGAUUCAUCCAGAAUUAAUUUAGCUCAUCUGGUUGGCCAGGUAGGUGGCCCCUUCUUAUUUUACCUUGCCUCUUGUUUUCUUUCUGAAGUUUCAUGCUUCACUGAAGAAGAUGACUUACUUAAAUGGUUUUGAUAAGCAUAUAACUGAAUCUCAUUUCCCCAGUAGAACUUCCUAAAAGUUCUCAAGGUCAAUUUAUAGGAAAAUUUAAGAUGUCUUAAGUCAUUAAUAAAAAGAUAUCCCCCCCAGCCAAGCCAAGUGCCCCCCUCCGAGCAGG